UCAGGUUGUCGUGUAGUAGGUGGUUGUGGUCUUGGUGUUGAAGGUGUAGGAUUCUCAGGUUGUCGUGUAGUAGGUGGUUGUGGUUUUGGUGUCGAAGGUGUAGGAUUCUCAGGUUGUCGUGGCAUAGGUGGUUGUGGUUUUGGUGUCGAAGGCGUAGGAUUCUCUGGUUGUUGUGGAGUAGGCGGUUGUGGUUUUGAUGUCGAAGGCGUAGGAUUUUCAGGUUGUUGUGGAGUAGAUGGUUGUGGCUGUGGUUUUGGUGUUGAAGGCAUA
rnacentral:lncRNA from 1 species